rnacentral:misc_RNA from 1 species
GAUGAAGAACGUAGCUAAAUGCGAUAAGUAAUGUGAAUUGCAGAAUUCAGUGAAUCAUCGAAUCUUUGAACGCAUCUUGCGCUCCUUGGUAUUCUGAGGAGCAUGCCUGUUUGAGUGUCAUUAAAUUCUCAACCGCACUGACUUUGAAUUGGUGUGGCUUGGAUUUGGGGGGAAAAUUGUUGUGGGCUUUUUUGUAUAGUCUGCUCCCCUGAAAUUGAUUAGCGGUACCUUUGUGGAACUGUCUACAGGUGUGAUAAUUAUCUACAUCCUAGACAUCUGCUGGAAUGCUGCUUUCUAAACCUUACUUGUAUUGACAAUCUUGACCUCAAAUCAGGUAGGACUACCCGCUGAACUUAAGCAUAUCAAUAAGCGGAGGA